GCUUUUCCACUACUCGGGACAGAGCUUUUCAGCAUUAGAGAAUUGAUACCGCUUACCGAAGGUCCCUAUCUUGGUCCAUGGUGAGCAACUUCGGGUCUAGGUACAGAUCCGCAUGUCCAUAAAUCAGGCAAUCGGUAAUAGUAA